rnacentral:sRNA from 1 species
AGUCCCCAGGUUAUCAAAGUCAACGAUUUUUCGUGCUUGCACGAAAGAAACGUUGACCUUGAUAACCGCAAAAUAUGAGGAAGAAGCGAUUUGUGUAACAAAUCUGCGGAUUCCGAAUAUUUUCAGGAGUGCGUAAACUGCGGAGCACUCCGCCUGGGGACG